GCCCGGCUAGCUCAAUGUAAGAAUUCACCAUUCCGUUUUAAGAGAAAAAGGCUGAGAGAUGAAAAAAGGGUCAGAGCGUCCGACUUUUACGACCAAAAGAUUUAAAUCGGAAGGCUGAGGGUUCGAGUCCCUCGUCGGGCG